ensembl:lncRNA
GGGGGAAAUAGGGUAAGGACUGGACUUACUGCAGGUGGGGAAAUAGGAGGACUGGACUUACUGCAGGGAGGGAAAUAGGGUAAGGACUGGACUUACUGCAGGGGAGGACUGGACUUACUGCAGGGGGAAAUAGGGUAAGGACUGGACUUACUGCAGGGGGAAAUAGGGUAAGGACUGGACUUACUGCAGGGGGAAAAUAGGGUAAGGACUGGACUUACUGCAGGGAGGGAAAUAGGGUAAGGACUGGACUCACUGCAGGGAGGACUGAAAGGACAACAGGACACAGACAGACACACUCGCAAGCACACACACACACACACAGACUCACGCUGGACAUUCAGUGCAUUCUGAAAGUAUUCAGAC